UACGUAGGGUGCGAGCGUUAAUCGGAAUUACUGGGCGUAAAGUGUGCGCAGGUGGCUGAGCAAGUCGAGUGUGAAAUCCCCGGGCUUAACUUGGGAAUUGCGCUCGAAACUACUUGGCUCGAGUGUGGCAGAGGAAGGUGGAAUUCCAGGUGUAGCGGUGAAAUGCGUAGAUAUCUGGAGGAACACCGGUGGCGAAGGCGGCAUUCUGGACCGACAUUGACGCUGAGGCGCGAAAGCCAGGGGAGCAAACGGG
rnacentral:rRNA from 1 species